AAUAUUGGACAAUGGGCGAAAGCCUGAUCUAGCCAUGCCGCGUGUGUGAAGAUGGUCUUCGUAUUGUAGAGCACUUUAAGUUGGGAGGAAGGGUUGUAGGUUAAUACUCUGCAAUUUUGAUGUAACCAACAGUAUAAGACACGACUAACUUCGUACCACGAGCCGCGGUAAUACCAAGGGUGCAAGCGUUAAUCGGAAGUACUGGGCUGAAAGCGCGCGUAGGUGGUUCGUUAAAUAAGAAAUGAUAGCCCCGGGCUUAACCAGGGAAUGACUUUCAAAACUGACGAGCGAGAGUACGGUAGAGGGUAGUUGAAUUUCCUGUGUGGCGGUCAGAUGCAUAGAUAUAGAACGGAACAUCAGUGGCGUAGGCGACUACCUGGACUGAUACUGACACUGAGGUACGAAAGCGUGGGGAGCAAACAGG
rnacentral:rRNA from 1 species